rnacentral:rRNA from 1 species
CCCUUAGCUGUUCUGGGCCGCACGCGCGCUACACUGAUGCAUUCAACGAGUUUCUUCCUGGUCCGAGAGGAAUGGGUAACCUUUUGAAAGUGCAUCGUGAUAGGGAUAGACUAUUGCAAUUAUUGGUCUUCAACGAGGAAUUCCUAGUAGACGUAGUUCAUCAGACUGCAUCGAUUACGUCCCUGCCCUUUGUACACACCGCCCGUCGCUCCUACCGAUUGAAUGCUCAGGUGAGCCAUUCGGACUUUCAUCAUGCUGGUUUCCAGUUUUGAUGAAGGAAAGUCUUGCGAACCUUAUCAUUUAGAGGAAGGAGAAGUCGUAACA